rnacentral:rRNA from 1 species
UAGCCUCGUACCUUUUGCAUCAUGACUUAGCCAGUAACCCCAAGCAAAGAGCACUUUAGUUUGACCCCCCGAAACUGAGCGAGCUACUCCAAGACAGCCUAUUAAUAGGGCAAACCCGUCUCUGUGGCAAAAGAGUGGGAAGAGCUUUGAGUAGAGGUGACAGACCUACCGAGCCCAGUUAUAGCUGGUUGCCUGAGAACUGAAUAGAAGUUCAGCCUCCCGGCUUCUUUCCAAACCGAGAGAGUUAGUCAAAGGGGGUACAGCCCCUUUGAUACAAGACACAACUUUUUCAGGAGGGUAAAGAUCAUAUUUAAAUUAAAGGUAGUAUGUUUUAGUGGGCCUAAAAGCAGCCAUCCCUAUAGAAAGCGUUAAAGCUCAAACAUAACAUUCUGAUAAUUUAAUCUUAACCCCCUUCAAUCUACCAGGCCAUCCCAUGCAAACAUGGGAGUGAUAAUGCUAACAUGAGUAAUAAGAGAGACCUCUCUCCUCGCACACGUGUAAGUCAGAACGGACCUCCCACCCAACCUUAACUGGCCCCCAACGAACGAGGAAGGGAAUGACAACCAGAAAGAAACCCUCCGUCCCCCCCACACGGGUGUCCACCCAAGGAAAGAAUAAAAGAAAGAGAAGUAACUCGGCAAACAAGCCUCGCCUGUUUAACAAAAACAUCGCCUCUUGCAUGAAUAAGAGGUCCCGCCUGCCCUGUGACUGAAAGUUUAACGGCCGCGGUAUUUUGACCGUGCGAAGGUAGCGCAAUCACUUGUCUUUUAAAUGGAGACCUGUAUGAAUGGCAUAACGAGGGCUUAGCUGUCUCCUCUUUCAAGUCAAUGAAAUUGAUCUCCCCGUGCAGAAGCGGGGAUACGCACAUAAGACGAGAAGACCCUAUGGAGCUUUAGACACCAAGGCAGACCAUGUUAAAAACCCUAAAACAAAAGACCAAACCAAAUGAACCCUGCCCUAAUGUCUUUGGUUGGGGCGACCGCGGGGAAACACAAAACCCCCACGUGGAAUGAGAACACUCUCACAACCAAGAGCUCCCGCUCUAAUAAACAGAAUUUCUGACCAUCUAGAUCCGGCAAGACCGAUCAACGGACCGAGUUACCCUAGGGAUAACAGCGCAAUCCCCUUUUAGAGGCCAUAUCGACAAGGGGGUUUACGACCUCGAUGUUGGAUCAGGACAUCCUAAUGGUGCAG